AUUGAACGCUGGCGGCGUGCUUAACACAUGCAAGUCGAGCGGUAACAGGUGUAGCAAUACAUGCUGACGAGCGGCGAACGGGUGAGUAAUGCUUCGGAAUCUUCCUCGUAGUGGGGAAUAACCUGGGGAAACUCAGGCUAAUACCGCAUACGAACUACGGUUGAAAGCAGGGGAUCGCAAGACCUUGCGCUAUGAGAUGAGCCGAAGUCGGAUUAGCUAGUUGGUGGGGUAACGGCCCACCAAGGCGACGAUCCGUAGCUGGUCUGAGAGGACGACCAGCCACACUGGGACUGAGACACGGCCCAGACUCCUACGGGAGGCAGCAGUGGGGAAUAUUGGACAAUGGGCGAAAGCCUGAUCCAGCGACGCCGCGUGUGUGAAGAAGGCCUGCGGGUUGUAAAGCACUUUUAGUGGGGAUGAAAAGCCGAAGGUUAAUACCUUUCGGUCUUGACCUAACCCAAAGAAAAAGCACCGGCUAACUCUGUGCCAGCAGCCGCGGUAAUACAGAGGGUGCAAGCGUUAAUCGGAAUUACUGGGCGUAAAGCGUGCGUAGUCGGUUAUUCAAGUCGGGUGUGAAAGCCCCGGGCUCAACCUGGGAAUUGCAUCCGAUACGGUUUAGC
rnacentral:rRNA from 1 species